CUGGAAGAGAACUUUGGGCGGCCUGAGCAAGGUCUCAAGCCUGCUUCCUCUCCCACAGCUCUCUGCCCUGUGGGUUGAUGAAGGCACUAACAGAGAUGACCUUCCCGAAACAUCAGACUAUAACUUUGUUUACUCUUCAGCAUGUGUGUACACGGAGAGGGACAGACUGAGAUGGCUUCUGACUCAAGGAGUAAGAAGAAUGAGAGGGGAUUUAAAUGGAUGGCAGUGAAUCCUGUUGAGCCCUUCAGUUAUUCUCAUGUCUUUGCAACAUACUCUCUAAAACGAUUCACUAGCUGCUGUGUGCCCGGCAUUGCAAACAUCACAGGUGCAUUCAACGUUUUUCACCCUUUCAGAACUCACAGCAGUACAUGUGGAUACAAGAAAAGAAAGUAAAUUUCCCAUAGAUUUCACUUAGACUACUCCCAGGGCAGAGAGAGAGAGAGAGAGAGAGAGAGAGAGAGAGAGAGAGAGAGACCAUUUUACCUGAAGAGGUGAAAAAAUUCGGUCUACAUAGAAGUGCCCCAAAGCCAAGUCUUAAACAUUAAAAAGUGGUGUUCAGGCUGCUUCUGUGAGAAGAGAGAUUGGGCUAAGACUGAGGAGUGAAUCGGCAACAGGACUUUUAAGGAAAACAUGGAUUCAUUACACCUGGAAUAAAGAACUUUAAGAGGUUUGGCAAGAUGUGAAACUGGAUGGAAGAAAAUUUCAACAUAGGCACUUUAUAAAAUAAUGUCUGAUCUAAGUAAGUGGACAUUUCUUUGGUCAGUUCCUGUGUGCAAGGCAUCAUGGGAAACUCACUGCCAGCACUUUGCAGGCAUCCACCUCAAGCUGUCCGGUGGCCACGGGGAGAUGACGUUAUUUACUUAUUCGAGUCAGAGAUUUUGAUGUGGUUAGUGAGAACAGACAGGCAGUGGGAUUUUGAACUGAAGCAUGCCAUGUUGCCGAGCAGCACCUUUGAGAUGUUCUCGCCUGUGAGGAAGAGAAGAUGAUAAAGAGACAGAAUCUGGAGAGGGCACCCCAAUCACACUACAGUCAGGUGCUACCGGGUGGAGGAGAAACCAUUCUAACCCCACAGCACUACAAGACUCCUAUCCCACCACGCAUUCACCAUUUCACGAAACGGCAGUAAGUCAGCAGUUUCAAAUUAUGUGAUUUCCUUCCCCAUAAAUGCAUGCAGAUAGGGAGUCGGUCUCCGUACACUAUAUUUUUAGGGUGUUUGGGAGUUUCCAGGAUGUGAAGAAUUUAGAAGGCGGAGGAUUCAGGGCCUCAGAUUCUCAGCUAACUAGAUAAAGCUUCAGUCAGGCUGGGCACCAUGUGCACAGUCUUAAGAAUCAGCAGGAAAUGCAUUUGCAAAACACAUGCUGUAAAAAAUUAAUUUUAAAAAAGCUACCUGUAUAAAUAUAUAUAUUUAAAAGCAAGGUUUUGAUACUUUUUUUUACAAAAACUACAAGAGAAGACUGUACAACCCACAGGCUUUUAAAAUAGCAUUUUGUUCUCUAUAAGCUGUUAAUAUGAGGGGUAAGGUACUGGUUUGCAAACUCACACAAUCCAAUGGAUUUUCUUGUUUGUCACCCCGCUCUCCAAAUUACCAUAAUUGGUGUAAUAGUAGGGCAUGUAAAGUUAUUGGGUCACAUAAACCAUUUCUGCUCUUGUCAUCCUGGGUUCCGUUAGCUCCUGUACUCAGGAAUCUAGCUUCUUCCAGAGGCAGAGGGACCGAAGCAAGUGUGCUCCAUUUCACUCGCUGUACUGACAUCAUCCAAAUGUGGACAUUUGUAAAAUCAGCACACUAUUUCUAUAGAGACAUUAAAUUCAUUUUUUAAAAUC
rnacentral:lncRNA from 1 species